CAGUAGCCGCGGGAAUACGUAGGUGGCAAGCGUUGUCCGGAAUUAUUGGGCGUAAAGGGCUCGCAGGCGGUUUCUUAAGUCUGAUGUGAAAGCCCCCGGCUCAACCGGGGAGGGUCAUUGGAAACUGGGAAACUUGAGUGCAGAAGAGGAGAGUGGAAUUCCACGUGUAGCGGUGAAAUGCGUAGAGAUGUGGAGGAACACCAGUGGCGAAGGCGACUCUCUGGUCUGUAACUGACGCUGAGGAGCGAAAGCGUGGGGAGCGAACAGGAUUAGAUACCCGUGUAGUCCCUGUCUCUUAUAU
rnacentral:rRNA from 1 species